AUUGAACGCUGGCGGCAGGCCUAACACAUGCAAGUCGAACGGUAACAGGAAGAAGCUUGCUUCUUUGCUGACGAGUGGCGGCCGGGUGAGUAAUGUCUGGGAAACUGCCUGAUGGAGGGGGAUAACUACUGGAAACGGUAGCUAAUACCGCAUAACGUCGCAAGACCAAAGAGGGGGACCUUCGGGCCUCUUGCCCUCGGAUGUGCCCAGAUGGGAUUAGCUAGUAGGUGGGGUAACGGCUCACCUAGGCGACGAUCCCUAGCUGGUCUGAGAGGAUGACCAGCCACACUGGAACUGAGACACGGUCCAGACUCCUACGGGAGGCAGCAGUGGGGAAUAUUGCACAAUGGGCGCAAGCCUGAUGCAGCCAUGCCGCGUGUAUGAAGAAGGCCUUCGGGUUGUAAAGUACUUUCAGCGGGGAGGAAGGGAGUAAAGUUAAUACCUUUGCUCAUUGACGUUACCCGCAGAAGAAGCACCGGCUAACUCCGUG
rnacentral:rRNA from 1 species